AAAUUGGCAGACAGGAAGGGCACGAGCAGGGACUCUGGCUUCGCAGAGGGUCCCUUUUCCUCCCUUUUUUCCUUUUCACCCAGUAAAACCCUGCUUUACUCACCCUUCAAACCGUCUGCAAGCCUACAUUUUCGUGGCCGUGGGACGGACAAGGACCCCGUGGUUGGCUGAACUAAGGGAAAGUCCUGUAACAGGAACAGGGAAGGAGGUCUGCUGAGGGUCCGGAGAUCUUGCAGCUGAACUAAGGGAAAGUCCUGCAACAGGAGCAUGGAGGGAGGUCUCUGCUGCGGGUCCGGAGAUCUUGCACAAGAGGCAGGGCUUCAGGUCAGACUUGCAGGAUGAGUAGGUGAUGGGCAGGGGCGUGGGAGUGGGGAGGGGAGGAAGUGGAAACAGCCUGGAUCCAGGAAAGAGAGGCAGAAGGCAAAUGCCCGGAAAACGCACAUCAUUCCCUGGAGCUGGAGGGAGAAGACCAGCACACAAGAGGCGGAGAGUACAAAUGGGAGACGAAACGUGUGCUGGAUCCUGGUCACAAAGGAGCUGCUGUUCCCUUCGAAGGAGGGGACACUACCUUGAAAAGCUACAGAGGGAUUUCAAGCAGAGAAGAGCUGCAACCUGAUGUGUCAAUCUGAAGAGCACUCUUUGUCAUUUAUGAGUAAGGAAACGUUGGAACUUUAAGAGACACAGAGCGACGUCUGCAUACUUCCUUUUGUAUGGCAACUUCCUGUAUUAAGGGGGUGAAUAAACCAUGGUUGAAUUCAGGCCUCAAACUCCUUGGGAGGAAGCAGAGUUCAUGCCAGACAGAAAGGAGGCGGGAGUUCCCCCAGUUCAAGGUGCACACAGCUGGGACCUGGGGUACACAGCACCUCCUUCGCUCCUCUGCCGUCUCCGCAGUCGGACCUGGCCAAGAGGACUCUGCUACUGGACUCUGCACUCUGCACUCUGCACUCAGCCUCCUGAUUCAAAACUCCACAUAGGGAGUGGCCAGCAUAGCUUGAUUACUGUCUAUUGAGUGUUCAUCAUAUGCCAGGCUAUUUCAAUGCUGAGUGGCUUUAAAACUCCCAGCUGAAACCAUGUACAUACACAUGGGAAUUCGUCUCAACAGUGCAACUGGAACUGUAUUUCUGCAUGUUGUCAUUGAUAUUUGAAUAGUCAUCCGGCAGGUUUGCAUUCAUGAUCUCAUUUGUGUCUCUGGAACUGAAUUAGGUUAAUGUAUUCCUGGAACCCAACAUGGAGACUUUAAAAGGUAAAAUGCAUACAAAAUAGGACAAUGUCCAUUGAUGAUAAUUCUACACCAAAGAUUUUCAGUCAAACCUAUGUCAGAUUCUUCUCUGGACAAACUCAGAACUCUCCAUGCCUUAGAUUAGCAGCCUUCCGUUCCGCCCUGUGCUGGAACACCCUGGCUCAUGAGAACAGGAGGACGCAGGAUCCCAGCCCUGCAUUCAGGGGAGUCGCGUUACUUGGCCAGGAUGGAUGGGUUGAGCAUCCCCUAUCUGAGAUGCUUGGGACCAGAAGUGUCUUGGAUUUUGGACUUUGGAACAUUUGCCUAUGCAUAAUGAGAGAUCUUGGGAUGGUACCCAUGUCUAAACACAAAUUCCUUUAUGUUUCAUGUACACCUUCUAAACAGAGACUCAAGCAUCAUUUUAUGCAAUAUUUUUAGUAAUUUCAUGCCUGAAACCAAGUUUUUUAAAAAUUAUUUUUACUUUUAUAGAUUUGGGAGCUACAACUGUAGUUACCUUACAUGGCUAUAUAGCAUAGUGGUGAAGUGUGGGCUUUUAGAGAAACCCUCACUAGAAGAGUGCAUGUUGUCCCUAAUAGGUGAUUCUUUGUCUCUCACCCCGCCCACCCUCCUACCUUUUUGAGUCUCCGAUGUCUAUUAUCCCACUCUCUAUGUCCACGUGUACAUGUUAUUUAGCUCACACUUAGAAGUGAGAACAUGUGAUACUUGACUUUCUGUUUCUGUUAUAUUUCACUUAAGAUAGCAGCCUCCAGUUCUAUCCAUGCUGCUGCAAGAGACAUGAUUUCAUUCUUUUUUAUGGCUGACUAGUAUUCCAUGGAGUAUACACCACAUUUUCUUCACUCAAUCCUCCACUGAUGAACACUUAGGUUGAUUCUCUAUGUUUGCUAUUGUGCAUUGAUUGCAUUUUGACUGCGACCCAUCCCAUGAGGGUGGGUGUGAAAUUUUCCACUUGUAUCAUGUUGGCACUCAAAAAGUUUCAGAUUCUGGAACAUUUUGGAUUUUGGAUGUUUGGAUUAGAGAUACUCAACCUCUAUUUACACCAUGUGUAUUAGUUUCCUAGGCUACCAUGGCAAAGUACCACAAAGUGUGUGGCUUUAAACAAUAGAAAUGUAUUCUCUUCUAGUUCUGGAGGCCAGAAAUCUGGAACUGGGGUCAGCAGGGCUAUGUUUCCUCUGAGAUCCUGGGUAGAAGUCUUCUUUACCUCUUCCUAGCUUCUGAUGGCGGCGUCAAUCCCUGCCACUCCUUGGUUUGCAGACACGUUGCUCUAAUCUCCACCUCCAGAGUCACGUGGCAUUCUUGGUGGGUGUGUCUGUCUGUGUCUCUUCUCCUCCUCUUAUGAGGACACUAGUUGUAUUAAGAGCCCAUCCCACUCCAGUAUGACCUCAUUUUAACUAAUUAUAUCUGCAAUUACCCUAUUUCCAAAUAAGGCCACAUUCUGAGCUUCUGGGAGUUAAGAUUUCAACAUAUCUUUUUGAGGACACAAUUCAAAUUAUAACACUAUGGAAAUCAGCAAACACUACAAAUCAGGGCUUUAAGAAAAAUAAUUAAAAUGUAGAAUUUUUUAGAAUUGGUUUCCAACACAUCAGUGUGUUUGUCUGUCAUAUGACAUCAGGACAGGGCCACUCACCUCAAAUAUCACUUUUCCACGGGAAUUUUUCAUCAGAAAUUUCCACAUACUCCAAAUGGACUAUAUGCUCUCUGUCAGAGUAAGAUUUAAAGGUGACAACAUGCUAGUUAGGAUUUACCAGCCAUUUCUUAGCCUUUUAAACAUUUCUUAUAUGUGUUUCCACUAUAGAAAACUUAAAAAAUAUGGAAGAGUAGAAAGAGAAGUUAAAAAAAAUCAUUCAUAGUUUCAUCAUCCAAGGAGAGAGCUAUUAAUAAUCCUUGAAAAAUUUUCUUCAAAAAUAUUUUUGGAACUUUUUCUCACUUUUUCUUUUGCCAUUUAUAUUUUUUCUUUUGUGUUUAACCUGUUUGAGAACUUUGGCUUUUUUUCCUAAUGCUUUUUAUUAUAUAUAUAUUUUUAAAUGUAUGAGUAAUACAUGAACACACUUUCAGUUAAAACAGUAAGAUAAGCAAAAUCCAUCUUGACCACCGCCUCAAUCCCAGUCUUUCCCUCUGGAGGUAGACACUGUUACUAGUUUCAGGUAGAUCCUUCCAGACCCUUUUCAGUGCAUUUUAUGCAUUAAUAUUUUUGUUCAUACAUAAACCAUAUCAUAUGAUGUAUUUCUAUGCCGUAGUUUACUCCUCCCCCACUCACUAAAUUGUAUGUCCUUGACAGCCUUUCAUAUUAGAUUUAACUUGUUCUCUUUAACUGCUGCAACAUAUUUCAUGCUAUAAAUAAGUCACAAUUUAUGUCAUUGUUCUCCUGUUGCUGAUUUUUAGAUUGGUUUUGAUCUUUCAUGAUUGCAAUUACGAAGCAAUGAAUGUCCUUUUACAUGACUCUUUGUGCCCACGUACAAGCGUUUCUCUAGGAUAAAUAACAAGAAGAAGAAUUUUUAACUUGAAGAGUAUUUAUAAUUUUAAUAUCAUGCCAAAUCCCCUUUAAAGUAAUACCAAUACACCUUUCUACUCUAUCCAUUUCUCCACAUCCUAACCAAUACAAACAUUAUAUUCUUUUAAAAGUUUGUUCAUCUGAUAGGAAAAACAUGGCAUUUUUCUGCUGCCGUUUUGGUUUGCAUUUUUAAGAGACUGCUGGUGAGGUUUACUGGCUGCUUAAUAUCUGUCUCAGUUUGGUCAAUUUCAGUGGGUCUUCAUGCAUAUGGAACCCAUCAGCCCCUCUUAAUGGCCUAAUCUGCAGUAGGUUUAAAGCUCAGGCCCUUGAAAUGAAACUUCAUGUAUUUAAUAAUUGGUGCAUUAUGGAAAUAAAGCUAGUGUUUCAUCUGAA